rnacentral:rRNA from 1 species
CGCACGGGUGCGUAACGCGUAUGCAAUCUACCUUUCACAGAGGGAUAGCCCAGAGAAAUUUGGAUUAAUACCUCAUAGUAUAUCAGUUUGGCAUGAAUCCACUAUUAAAGUCACAACGGUGAAAGAUGAGCAUGCGUCCCAUUAGCUAGUUGGUAAGGUAACGGCUUACCAAGGCAACGAUGGGUAGGGGUCCUGAGAGGGAGAUCCCCCACACUGGUACUGAGACACGGACCAGACUCCUACGGGAGGCAGCAGUGAGGAAUAUUGGACAAUGGGCGCAAGCCUGAUCCAGCCAUGCCGCGUGCAGGAUGACGGUCCUAUGGAUUGUAAACUGCUUUUAUACGAGAAGAAACACUCCGACGUGUCGGAGCUUGACGGUAUCGUAAGAAUAAGGAUCGGCUAACUCCGUGCCAGCAGCCGCGGUAAUACGGAGGAUCCAAGCGUUAUCCGGAAUCAUUGGGUUUAAAGGGUCCGUAGGCGGUCAGGUAAGUCAGUGGUGAAAGCCCAUCGCUCAACGGUGGAACGGCCAUUGAUACUGUCUGACUUGAAUUAUUAGGAAGUAACUAGAAUAUGUAGUGUAGCGGUGAAAUGCUUAGAGAUUACAUGGAAUACCAAUUGCGAAGGCAGGUUACUACUAAUGGAUUGACGCUGAUGGACG